rnacentral:misc_RNA from 1 species
AGUUUUGGCGAGUGUGCUAACAAAAAGAUUUGCUGAAAUCGCUAAAUAGUGCUAUUUAAUUAAGUUGUAAUUGACAAUAGAGAAAAACACAUACACACACCACCAACCAACCAUAAUGGCAGACAAGCAAGUCGACAGCGAAAUGAACGGUGAAGAUUUCACCAAGGAUGUCACCACCAAUGAUGUGGCGAGCUCUGAAAACGGUGAUUCGACUCCCUCUGCCGGCGCAGCUGCAAAUGGCAGCUCUGAAAAUGCAGGCGCCGUUGCGGGUAACCAGCGUGAUGACGACAGAAAACUGUUUGUUGGCGGCCUUAGCUGGGAAACAACUGAGAAGGAACUGCGCGAUCAUUUUGGAAAAUAUGGCGAGAUCGAGAGCAUCAAUGUAAAAACAGAUCCUCAGACGGGAAGGUCACGUGGCUUUGCCUUCAUCGUGUUCACUAACACAGAGGCAAUUGAUCAAGUGAGUGCCGCCGAGGAACACAUCAUCAACAGCAAGAAGGUUGAUCCCAAAAAGGCCAAGGCACGCCAUGGCAAGAUAUUUGUGGGCGGCCUGACCACAGAGAUAAGCGAUGAGGAAAUCAAAACCUACUUCAGUCAGUUUGGCACUAUUGUUGAGGUCGAGAUGCCAUUCGAUAAGCAAAAGUCACAUCGCAAGGGCUUCUGUUUCAUUACGUUCGACUCGGAACAGGUGGUCACCGAUUUGUUGAAGACACCCAAACAGAAAAUUGCUGGCAAGGAGGUUGAUGUGAAGCGCGCAACGCCAAAACCUGAGAAUCAAAUGAUGGGCAUGCGAGGUGGAGCGCGAGGCGGCAUGCGCGGUGGACGAGGCGGAUAUGGACGUGGUGGUUAUUCCCAUCAAUGGGACGGCCAGGGUUCGUAUUCGGGCUAUGGCGGCUAUGGCGGUUAUGGUUCCGGUGGAUUUGCCGAUUACUAUGCCGGUGGCUACUAUAAUGGAUAUGACUAUGGUUAUGGCGGCGGCGGUGGUGGCGGCGGCGGUGGUGGUUUUAAUGGGGGCAAGCAGCGCGGCACUGGACGCCAGCCACGACAUCAGCCCUACUAAGCGGCCCGUUUUCCGGAGUCGUCCGACAUCUACUUAUAACUGCAAACUAUUUGAAUUUUAUUUAGUUUAGUUUGUUAUGCAUACUACAGAACAACACAUACACA